ACCCAACAUGCUACUCAGCCCAAUUCCCAACCCUUUGCACCAGGUUUGGCUUCUGUUUUUAUUUUUGCAAAGUCUGUUCCUCUUGGCUCCAACUUCCGUCUUUGGAGUUGUUAAUGGAGAAGUUAGGGUGCUAUGUAGAUUCACCAGGCGAGUUCAGUACUACUACCCUGGGGAUGAAUGUUGGUGAGAAGCCAUUCCAGAUAGACCCCCAACAACUCUGCUUCGUUGACCCUCAGAACAGUACCCUGUGGGACUCCUGAGCCGUAAGGAGUCUCCCUGGUAGCGCGCAGCGGGGCCAGGCUCUGUGCUCCGGCCCCCGUGCGGUGCCCAGCUCUGCAGGUUCCCGAAAGUGCGCCCCGGGGUGGGGUUGCAAUCCGCCCCGUGACGGCAUAAUAAAUAAUUAGAGGGUUUAAGCGUGUUAGCCACAGCUCAUGCUAAUGAGCCAGAUAAGGGCUCACGCUAACCCGAAGUGACAGUUUGCAUAUAGGAGGGAAGAAGAAAAAAUCCUGCUUCCCCCCCCACGCACAAACUUGAUUGCUCCUUCUCAAAUUCAUGUCCCCAAAUCCCUUCCCCCAUUCCUCGGACUUCCCUCUUCUCACAUGCCCCCACUUCAGCCACAACACACACACUAUCCGUUUUUGACCCUUCCUUUGCCUUUCACCGGGUCAGACGGCAUUGUGACGUCACAAAACCCCUGGGUGCCUAUAUCUGACCUGCGCGGAAAGUUCAUUCUGAGUGCGUCCUGGCGAGUCUCAGCCCCCAAGCGGGUGGAACGCACCAAGGGUCUCAUCCGCGAGGAAGGGCUUUAACGCUCAGGGUCAGGAACCUCUGAGAGCUCUUGGGGACUUGCGCGCCCUUGGAUGCUCUUGCGUUCAACAGGGCUAGGAGACUACCGGCUGGGGCGAGGAAUGCAGGCGCCUAGAGCCUUGGAGCUCCUGAAACGUUCCUGCCGCCUCCGGAAAGCAAGGGCAGUUUACCGAAGUGACUGAGGCCAAGUAUUUGCAGCACGGGCAGGGACCAGUAACUGAUUUUCAGGCCUUUUGAGAGGAAGAGGAAGAGAGAGGAAGAGAAGGAUUUCUAAUAGUAGAUAUUCACUCUCAUGGACUCUUUAGGAAACAGCAACAAAGACAAGAUUAAGAACACCAAAUUGUGUGACUAUCCACACAAAAAAGCAUCUUCAUAAGAACCAAAAAUCAGAGGGCAAGGAAAAAGGCUGAAUGCAAAACCAGAAUGUCAACAGGGUGCUAACGGAGACCAAUGGAAGGGGCAACUGACUCUCCCCAGGGAAGGUAGGCAAGGAGAUUGAGGGAAGUAGCAAUGAAAGGAGAGCUUGCAAAAUGAAGUCAUCAGAGCUUUGCAUAAGAAACAAUUCAUGGACCUUAGAUCAAGUAGUGAGGAUUAAAACUAUGUCUAUGUGAGGCUUUGGCUAGUUUUUCUACCUAAGACAUCCUUACCUCUCCUUUCCACUUGGGAAUCAUCUUCCUUUCCUAACCAUCAUCAUCAACCCUCAAGGCAGUCAGGGGCAUCUGUG
rnacentral:lncRNA from 1 species